AAAUAUGCUACUUUCGUAGGAACAGCACUGGCAAAUGGUGCUGCCUAUUAUGGACAGGGAUUGAUGGGUUCCUUCAGGAACACUUAAGAGAAGGACAAGGGAAAAAUCAGAUUUCCCCCCAAAGAACCUUAUCUCAGCCCAGCCUCUCAAGCGUGGAAAGGAUUCAAAACAGUCUCACGCCUUUGUGCCCCACAGCUGGAAUAGACCAAAAAUAUCCUUCCUUGGAAGAUGACAGGCUGUCCAACUUUUCAAACUUUUCAGAGAAUUAGAGCCGCGCAGGUCUGCCAAGAAGGAAGUACAGAUUCAGCCUUUAAACUUGCUUCCCUUUUAUUAAUUGCUCCAGUCAUUUGUGAUCACUGAACCAGUUGUUAUAUUGGUGGAAUCCCACCCCUGUAAGAAAGUGCUAUUACUAUUUCUAUCAUAUCUUAUAUAAGAUGUAAGCAGACACUUGCUGGAUUAGACCCUGGCCCCUCUACUCCUGUUUGUUCUUACAGUGACCAACCACCUGCCCCACAAAAGACCACGUCUCCCAACUGAUGCCUUCAGGGGGGAUCAAAAUCCAUCAAAGCUAACAGCCAUUGAUCCCAUGAUUUUCAUGAAGUUGUCCAACACUUUUUUUUUUGAAGCCAUCCAGCACUACUUGAAACUCUCUUUUCAACUAUUUUUCAUAAAUGGAAAAAGGAAAACAUUUUGUAAGAAACAAUUUACAAAAAAUGUUGUCUUAACCUUUGCUCACUGAGCCUUUGACUCAGUACGCUGAACUCAACUCACUGGACACCUAAAGCCAAAUUAAAGUACUGGUAGCUAUAUGUCAGCCUUCUGUCCUCCUCCUUCCACUUCUUCGAUAACAAAUUAGAAAUAGUUUUUAAAUUGUUUCUCCUUUUUCCUGAAUGAUAUUAAAAAAUAAAUUGCACGUGUGCUUUUUCAACCAAACAGAAUGUUUCCAUUUUUACUAAAAACACAUUCUUUAC